GGAGUUAGCCGGUGCUUCUUCUGUGAGUGAUGUCCUUCCUGCCGGUUAUUGACCCGCAGGCCUUCUUCCUCACUGAAAGUGCUUUACAACCCGAAGGCCUUCUUCACACACGCGGCAUGGCUGGAUCAGGGUUGCCCCCAUUGUCCAAUAUUCCCCACUGCUGCCUCCCGUAGGAGUCUGGGCCGUGUCUCAGUCCCAGUGUGGCUGAUCAUCCUCUCAGACCAGCUACGGAUCGUCGCCUUGGUGAGCCGUUACCUCACCAACCAGCUAAUCCGACAUAGGCUCAUCCGAUAGCGCGAGGCCCGAAGGUCCCCCGNUUUCCCCCGUAGGGCGUAUGCGGUAUUAGCCUGGGUUUCCCCAGGUUAUCCCCCACUACCGGGCAGAUUCCUAUGCAUUACUCACCCGUCCGCCGCUCGCCACCAGGGAGCAAGCUCCCCGUGCUGCCGCUCGACUUGCAUGUGUUAGGCCUGCCGCCAGCGUUCAAUCUGAGCCAGGAUCAAACUCUGA
rnacentral:rRNA from 1 species